rnacentral:rRNA from 1 species
CCUACGGGAGGCAGCAGUGGGGAAUUUUGGACAAUGGACGCAAGUCUGAUCCAGCCAUGCCGCGUGUGGGAAGAAGGCCUUCGGGUUGUAAACCACUUUUGUCAGGGAAGAAACGGCCUGGGUUAAUACCUUGGGCUAAUGACGGUACCUGAAGAAUAAGCACCGGCUAACUACGUGCCAGCAGCCGCGGUAAUACGUAGGGUGCAAGCGUUAAUCGGAAUUACUGGGCGUAAAGCGUGCGCAGGCGGUUAUGCAAGACAGAUGUGAAAUCCCCGGGCUCAACCUGGGAACUGCAUUUGUGACUGCAUGGCUAGAGUACGGUAGAGGGGGAUGGAAUUCCGCGUGUAGCAGUGAAAUGCGUAGAUAUGCGGAGGAACACCGAUGGCGAAGGCAAUCCCCUGGACCUGUACUGACGCUCAUGCACGAAAGCGUGGGGAGCAAACAGGAUUAGAUACCCUGGUAGUCCACGCCCUAAACGAUGUCAACUGGUUNUUGGGAGGGUUUCUUCUCAGUAACGUAGCUAACGCGUGAAGUUGACCGCCUGGGGAGGACGGCGCGAGUAGUUAAGUUAAAGUAGUUAGUUAGUAGCGNGNGAGNGCGAGACGACGACGAGGAGGAGG